UACGGGGGGGGCAAGCGUUGUUCGGAAUUACUGGGCGUAAAGGGCUCGUAGGUGGCCAACUAAGUCAUACGUGAAAUCCCUCGGCUUAACCGGGGAACUGCGUCUGAUACUGGAUGGCUUGAGGUUGGGAGAGGGAUGCGGAAUUCCAGGUGUAGCGGUGAAAUGCGUAGAUAUCUGGAGGAACACCGGUGGCGAAGGCGGCAUCCUGGACCAACACUGACACUGAGGAGCGAAAGCCAGGGGAGCAAACGGG
rnacentral:rRNA from 1 species